UAAACAAUAAAUCCCCUCUUCAUUUCCCUGUCCCUUGGCAGCCCCUGCUCCUUCUCCAGCCUCCCUUGCUAUUGCAUGGCGCCACCUACUGCCAGCUCCCCCUACCAGCACUCAGCUGGCAUCCUCUCGGGUGCCAGGAGUGGCCUGCUUUCUUCUCCCAUCCCGGAAUCGCUGGCCUUUAAACUCCCAGCUGGCCACAUGGAUGACCUGGGCUUCCUGGGGGUGUGAAGCCACCACGCUGCCAGUUCCAAGACUGCAUGUCCUCAGCUGAGCUCAUGGACGGUUUGUCCUUGCCUUUUGUGUUGGACGUAACUGGCUCAGCCAGCAGGAGAGGGAGCGAGCAGGGACACCUGGCUUCAUGUCACUCUCCGACAUGCCUGUGGCAACAAGCAACUUCCUCCAGGCAGCUUCCUGACCGGACUAAACCAAGCAAACGGGAGAGGAUUUCUUACACUGCAAGCCCCUCAGGGCAGAAGCUAUAGCUACCUACAUGUCUGUUCAGCUGCCUGGUGGGAAGAGACCCCGCUCCCCAGUGGGACCUCUGGGCACCCCUGGGACGUGCUAUUAAAGCAUAGCAGGGGGGCCGCACUAACUAUGAGCUCUGGCUGUUACUGAGCUAGCAGGAUAAAUCCAAUGGGUGGCAAGCUGGCAGGGGGGAGCCGUCAGGCGGCUCUGGUGCCUCGCAUUCUGCACGUCUGCCAAGGCCAUUCGAUGGAUGAAUGUCGCCGGGGAAGGCUAUUUCGGUGAUUUGUGUGGCCUGCGUGUCUCAGCUGAUGGAUAACGACUGGUGAGCACGGCCUACAGGAAGGAGCGCCAGGUGUACCUAUCUUCAGCAGCACCUGAGCUAAGCCUGCCCUCCAGGCCUCAAGGUGCCUGUCCCUUGAGAAUUUUCACCCAUGCAGGAUGGAGCUCGGGGUCUCACUUCAAGGACAGACGGAGGGUGAUGCCCUUUCAGUCCCAGAGAUGCUGACAUGUAUUUAUCUGCAAGGCUGGCGUGGGCCUGUGGCAGUGGAGAAGACGUGGAAGGAAGUAGGCUGUUGCUCACAGCCAAGCUCAGUGAAGCUGUUUGGAAGCUGUCUGGUUACUUAGUGCUGAAAGUGGAAGUGUUCAAAUCCUCCCACCCGACUCUGGGACUAACCUAUGAGCACAGAAACCAAACAGAAGGUCCAAGGGAAGCUGUGAGAACAAGGGCAGCUGUUGGAUGCUUCUAGGAUUGCUGGUAACAAGACUCGUGCCUCGGGUGUUAAUUGUGCUAAUGGUACUCUGAUUAACUGUUUGGUAAUAAAGCAGCUGCCCAAAGGAUUUCUACUGGCAUUCAGCAUUCAUCAGCCAGACCAUGCUUUUCAAGUGGGGCUCUGCCUGCUCCAUCCAGCUGAACAUUUCGUGUAGUCACUGAGGCUGG